GAUGAACGCUGGCGGCGUGCUUAACACAUGCCAGUCGAACGGAAAGGCUCCUGCUUGCAGGGGUACUCGAGUGGCGAACGGGUGAGUAACACGUGGGUGAUCUGCCCUGCACUUCGGGAUAAGCCUGGGAAACUGGGUCUAAUACCGGAUAGGACGAUGGUUUGGAUGCCAUUGUGGAAAGUUUUUUCGGUGUGGGAUGAGCUCGCGGCCUAUCAGCUUGUUGGUGGGGUAAUGGCCUACCAAGGCGUCGACGGGUAGCCGGCCUGAGAGGGUGUACGGCCACAUUGGGACUGAGAUACGGCCCAGACUCCUACGGGAGGCAGCAGUGGGGAAUAUUGCACAAUGGGCGCAGGCCUGAUGCAGCGACGCCGCGUGGGGGAUGACGGCCUUCGGGUUGUAAACUCCUUUCGCUAGGGACGAAGCGCAAGUGACGGUACCUGGAAAAGAAGCACCGGCUAACUACGUG
rnacentral:rRNA from 1 species